UAUAUCUUUACUGAUUACAAAAAUAUUGUUAAAAUACCAAGCACCAUCACAUACAUUAUUAUGUACUAUUUCAUUUUACAUUUCUGCAAUGACCACAGCAGCCCAACAACUAGUACUAAAAAAGUACUAAAUUCAACAAUGUGAGUUUAAUUUUUUGCUUGGUUGCUAUAAUCAAACAUCUACGUAACCUUAGUUUCUGUGUAUUGCAAGCUACAUUAGGCUGCCUGCACAAAUGAAAAUAAUAGUUUUAUAAUUCAAAAUAUACAGAGAGCCCACUACAGUACAUUGCCCCCUGUUUAUCUGCUAACUAAUUAAUAACCUGUCUCAAUCUAAUUAGAAUUAGACUUGUAAUUUCGACUUCUCUAUCAAUGAUACUCUAUGAUACAUUAUAUAGCAGUGUAUCGUAGAUUAUUUCAGAUGAGCGGAAAUUACAAGUCUAAUCUUAAUUAGAUUGUGUAUUGUCUUGACACGUGAACAAUGUUAAUAAGCGUAUUUCUAAAUACAAUGUGAGUUGUUUUAAAUUAACACAUACAGGUAAAUGUACCAUAAUUAACACAUACAGGUAAAUGUACCAUAAUUAACAAAUACAGGUAAAUGUACCAUUAUGAUAAUUAACACAUACAGGUAAAUGUCCCAUUAUGAUAAUUAACACAUACAGGUAAAUGUUCCAUAAUUAACACCUACAGGUAAAUGUACCAUAAUUAACACAUACAGGUAAAUGUACCAUUCAUAUAUUGGAUGUAAACACCAAUGUCGGUACCUGAUAGUACACCAGGGAAAUCGGUACCUGAUAGUACACCAGGGAAAUCGGUACCUGAUAGUACACCAGGGAAAUCGGUACCUGAUAGUACACCAGGGAACCAGGGAAAUCGGUACCUGAUAGUACACCAGGGAAAUCGGUACCUGAUAGUACACCAGGGAAAUCGGUACCUGAUAGUACACCAGGGAACAAGGGAAAUCGGUACCUGAUAGUACACCAGGGAAAUCGGUACCUGAUAGUACACCAGGGAAAUCGGUACCUGAUAGUACACCAGGGAAAUCAGUACCUGAUAGUACACCAGGGAAAUCGGUACCUGAUAGUACACCAGGGAAAUCGGUACCUGAUAGUACACCAGGGAAAUCAGUACCUGAUAGUACACCAGGGAAAUCAGUACCUGAUAGUACACCAGGGAAAUCGGAGUUGACAAGUAUGGUACAGCCCGCAGCUUUUAUGUUUUUUGGAAAACACUUUGUCAGAUAUCCAGCUGCAGAAGACAUGUUUAAUGUUAUAAAUCAUAUAUAACAUAGGCAUUAACACACAAUAAAUCACAGUACUAUAAUCUCCCAUUGGUAAGAACAUUUUAAACAAAUAUCUGUUAAUUCUUUGUACAUUUAAACAUGACAUAUAUAGUUAUAAGUAUUCAUUACAAAAAAAUAUAGGAAGAAAUAAAGUCCUUAUUUUCUUCUGGCAAAACAAUUUGAUUUAAAUUAAAUUUCAAAUAUUUUGAACUGACUCUUCUUACAAUGUUUCAAACUACAGGUUACAGGUUACAGGUUUCAGGUGGACAAGUUAAAUCCUGUCAUUCUUGAAAAAGAAAAAGUAUUUCAAAUUGUUCUUUUUUUUUCCUAUUGCGUGUUUUUCCUAUUGCGUGUUUUCCUAUUGCGUGU